rnacentral:tRNA from 1 species
AAGGGAGACCUAAUUCCGGUAGGAGACGAAAAAAAAGUAGUCCCUACCAAGAAUCAAUCCCAAAAGGUCGGAGCGAGGCAAAAUUGGCUUUCAAACUAGGUUCUGGGUUCACACAAGACCUGAAUCAGGAACAAGGGCUAUUAGCUCAGGUGGUUAGAGCGCACCCCUGAUAAGGGCGAGGUCCCUGGUUCGAGUCCAGGAUGGCCCACCUGUACAGGUGGCAAAAAGAAAGAAAAGAAGCGAGGAAUCAGCACAUUAUCUUACUUAUAUAGUAAGAGAGAAUGCUGGCUCUGAGUUCAGAGUCCAGAGGAACCUUGAAAACUGCAUAGAGCUAGGUGAAAAAGCCAAAAAAGAAGACCGCAAGGUCAAGCUAAUAAGGGCUAACGGUGGAUACCUAGGCAC